rnacentral:lncRNA from 1 species
GUAAAACCCAAUAUCGUUCUUCCCAAGAGACUCAAAGGUCUUAUCGUUCGUGCAAAUUGAAAUCGUAAGACUUGUAAAGAAAAUUAGUUGGUGGGAAUGCAAAGACACAAAAUAAACAUGCAAAUGCGGUUGAUUCAAUUGAAAAGAAAAAGACUAUGGAUGAAUGGAGUUGUUGGGGGUUUACAUUUUCAUCUUAUCCACUCUCUCUUAUCUAUUCCUCUUAUUUAAUUUGCUUUGUUAUCUAAUUGUCAUGCAAACUUUCUUAGUCUACCCUUAACCCGAUCCCUCGGCGAAAAGAGCCUAUUACUAAUUACUCGCUUGUUAUCCCUAGCCUCCCCUAGUAAUUAAUAACGCGUUAAGAACAGAAGCAAAAACAAUUGAUCGUCCUACCCCCUAUCCCUAGGUG